AAAUGAUCCAAAUGAUCAGGACUUGGAAGAUGUAAUAGGUGCGACUGGUACCACUAUCUAUGGUUCUGUAUCAACACCCACGACACCCAUAACUGUGAAAUCCGAAGCGCAAGAGAUGGGAUUUUUGCCAGAAGAUAUCGAUAAAGCAUUUAGUUAUCUAUGUCGAAAAAAGAAUGGUGAGAAUAUUACCUCCCAGGAGCUUGUAAACGAGAUUCUGAGAUCUCAAGGUGGUAGAAAGUAAUGAUCAAAUAAGCGUACCGUUGAAAUAUUUUAUGACUCCAAGUCAAAUGCAGAAUU